rnacentral:rRNA from 1 species
ACUGGUUGAUCCUGCCAGUAGCAAAUGCUUGACUUGGAGACUAAGCCAUGCAUGUCUAAGUAUAAGUUAUAUACAGCAAAACUGCGAAUGGCUCAUUAAAACAGUUAUAAUUUCUUUGGUGAUUUUAUUACAUGGAUAACCGUGGGAAACUAGGGCUAAUACAUGCAUAAAGGCCGCAAGGCUGUAUUUAUUAGUCUUAAACCAAUAUGGGUCAACCAUAUUAGAGGAAUCAUAAUAACUUGUCGAAGCGCAGUAAAAUGUGCUACACCAUAUAAGUUUCUGCCCUAUCAGCUCUCGAUGGUAGUGUAUUGGACUACCAUGGCUAUCACGGGUAACGGGGAAUUGGGGUUCGAUUCCGGAGAGGGAGCCUGAGAAACGGCUACCAUUUCUAAGGAAGGCAGCAGGCGCUAAAUUACCCAAUCCUGACUCAGGGAGGUAGUUAAUAGAAAUAACAUACUCGGUCCUUCGGGACUCUGAGAAUGUAAUGAGGGCAGCUUAAAACACUGUUCGAAUCCUAUUGGAGGGCAAGUCUGGUGCCAGCAGCCGCGGUAAUUCCAGCUCCGAUAGCGUAUGUUAAUGUUGUUGCAGUUAAAACGCUCGUAGUUGAAACUCCGGCGAGUUCUACUCGUCUGCCUGCAAAAACUGACGAUGAAGAAAUGAUUUGUCUUUUGGAGCAGGCUUUCACCAUGAACAAAAUAGAGUGCUCAAGGCAGGCUAUUGCUUGAAUAAUUCAGCAUGGAAUGAUAAAAUAGGACUUUAUCCAUUUUAUUGGUUAUCGGGUAAAGUAAUGAUUAACAGAAACAGUUGGGGGCAUCAGUACUUAAUAGUCAGAGGUGAAAUUCUAUGAUUUAUUAAAGACUAACUAAUGCGAAAGCAUUUGCCAAGGAUGUUUUCAUUAAUCAAGAACGAAAGUUAGGGGAUCAAAGACGAUUAGAUACCGUCGUAGUCCUAACCAUAAACUAUGCCGACUAGGGAUUGGUGAGGAAAACCCUCAUCAGCACCUAAUGAGAAAUCAAAGUCUUUGGGCUCUGGGGGGGGGUAUGGUCGCAAGGCUGAAACUUAAAGGAAUAGACGGAAAGGCACACCAGGAGUGGAGUCUGCGGCUUAAUUUGAUUCAACACGGGAAAACUUACCAGGGCAAAAAACUGAUAGGAUUGACAGUUUGAUAGCGCUUUCUUGAUCCGGUAGCAAGUGGUGCAUGGCCGUUCUUAGUUGGUGGAGUGAUUUGUCAGGUUAAUUCCCUUAACGAACGAGACCUUAACCUGCUAAAUAGGAGUAGUUAAAACCUAGCUAUAUCCUUCUUAGAGGGACUACGGUACGACAAAGUCCGUGGGAGUUUGAGGCAAUAACAGGUCCGUGAUGCCCUUAGAUGUUCUGGGCCGCACGCGUACUACACUGAUGCAUCCAAUGAGUUUCCUAACCUGAAGAGGGCUGGGUAAUCUUCAUAAUGUGCAUCGUGCUUGGGAUAGACCUUUGUAAUUAUAGGUCUUGAACGAGGAAUUCCUAGUAAGCAUGGGUCAUCAACCCAUGCUGAUUAAGUCCCUGCCUUUUGUACUCACCGCCCGUCGCUCCUACCGAUUCGAGUGUUUCGGCGAAUUCUUCGGAUUGGGACUCACUAGAGUCUCAAGAAGUUGUGUAAGCCAUAACACUUAGAGGAAGGAUAAGGCGUAACAAGGUA